rnacentral:rRNA from 1 species
UACGUAGGGUGCGAGCGUUAAUCGGAAUUACUGGGCGUAAAGCGUGCGCAGGCGGUUUUGUAAGCCAGAUGUGAAAUCCCCGGGCUUAACCUGGGAAUGGCAUUUGGGACUGCAAGGCUUGAGUGCGGCAGAGGAGACUGGAAUUCCCGGUGUAGCAGUGAAAUGCGUAGAUAUCUGGAGGAAUACCGGUGGCGAAGGCGGCAUCCUGGACCAUUACUGACGCUGAGGCGCGAAAGCGUGGGGAGCAAACAGGG